rnacentral:lncRNA from 1 species
AAUACCUCUAUUAUGCAUGUCACGUUCAUAGCAAUUGCCCAGGAAAAAAAAGGAUGGGGAUAAGUAAGCCUCUUUUAAAACAAACCCAUCUGUUUUAAAGAUUGCUCUUGCCCAAAACAUCAUGCACUGAAACUUAACAGAUGGAUUCCUAAUGGGUGAUGAAACUGCAAAUUCUAUUCUGGCAUAUAUGGGGAAAGGCUAUCCCUAUUUGGUGAUUUCAAACAAUAGACAAUGGGAGAUGUGAAGAUCUGGAUUUCUGAACCGGGAUUAGGAUUUGUAUCCAUGUUGAAUCAGGUGGCUUUUGAACUGGGUCUUUUUAGUAAGCUAUUGUGGGGAUGUUCAGGUGGGAUAGAGCAAGAAUGUGAUAUCUCCCCCAAAGAAAGAGAAAAUUUGUCAGAAGAGCUUGGUGGAUUUCCUGGACUGCCAGAAAAAGAAAGAAGAAUGCUUGAGAGCAAAGCAUGUCUGAACUUUCUCUGGAAGAAAAAAAAUGACAAGGCUGUCAUGUUUUUGACACAUAAUGAGAUGAUAUGAUUGACUGGAAAAGAUAACAAUGCUAGGAAGAUUUGAAGGCAGCAGAAAAAAAAAUCAAAUAUGAGAUGUAUUGACUCUAUAAAGGAAGCCACAGCCUUUCCCUUGCAGGAACUGAGCAGGGCUGUUGAUAACAAGGUAUUUUGGAGAUUGUUCAUGCAACCUGCUGGCAUGCAACUAUAACAACAAUGUACGUAUCUAAACCAGCAGGUGGACCACCUAUGGGAAAGACAAGACAGAAAUGUCACAUACUAUGCUGUAGCAAGUUGCUCCCUAUAUCAUCUCCGGGCACAUGUUUAGAAUUGUUUUGACUGAGGCUUCAAAUUACAAACACACACACACAUACACACCUUGAACAAUAACCUGAUAUACAGUAGUUAGGUUAUAGCAUGUGUUCUCCUCAUGCAAUGACAAACCGACACAAGCCAGAAUACAAAAAAAGAGGAUGUUCUGGCUCACAUGGAGAGGUUGCAUGGAUAGAUAAGCC